rnacentral:lncRNA from 1 species
CAGAGACUGAGUCACAGCAGCAUAGAAAGAAUGACUCAUGUCCUAUCGGCUAAACAUUAUCAGGUGUUGAAGAUGGAGCAAAACAACCUGUGUUAAAAAUAUUCCUCUACUGUGUCUGCUGGGAACACACAGGUAGCAUAAAAAUAAACUGAAACAAGUAAGAGAACUAGACUUGACAUGUGAAUAUAAUGAACUUGUGGUGUAUUAGAAGCAGAGAGCCUGGAAAAGUACUUGAGAAGAAGGCAUGCUUGGGUGACAGCUGAGAAACAGAAGGAGCAGUGUACAUUCUGCAGCAUGUAGGCAUUGGAUGGGAGCGACAGGUCCCAGGAUGCUCUACGUUGGACACGCUGCGACAUCUGCCAGGUCUGUGGUCCUGCUCUUUGACACGGGACAGAAAAUCCAACUCAACCGAUCUGGAGCUGAAGAUGAGAUGGAUCCUACUCAAGACACAGGGAUAAGAGGGAUCUAUUUUCAAAGGAAACAAGACAGUCUUAGCAAAAGAAGAGAAAUGGAGGUACAAAGCAAUAUGCCAGGAAUUUAACAUCUCUCAUGGUAGCAAGGUGGCUGCUGUGGUUCCAAACCUCACAUCAAAUCACCACUAAAUCAAAUUAAAGAAAGGAAGAUUAUCUCUCCCCAAAACUCUGGGAGAUGUCUCCUGUUUUCUCACCUGAUCUGUUUAGGUUAAGUGCUAUCCCUGAAUCAAGUCAGUGGAAAAAAACUCUUAACCAGUCAUGUUCAUGCUAUAACAUGAGGAGAACUGAGUAGAAUUGGUCCUCUUGACCCUCAGCAUUCCUGCUCAACCCCUCCCAUAUCAUUUUCUGCAGAGGUUACCUAUUUCAUAUCUGUUUAUUUGCAGCUUUGCCCUAAGCUAUGGUGGGUCAAUCAGAUAACUAAUCCCUGCUCAGCUGGUAACCUCCAGAUAACAUAAUGCCUUAACCUCAUUUACAAGUCUCUUAAAGACUCAUAAACAC